GCAGCAGGCACGCAAAUUACCCACUCCCGGCACGGGGAGGUAGUGACAAAAAAUAACGAUACGGGACUCUAUUGAGGCCCCGUAAUCGGAAUGAGUACACUUUAAAUCCUUUAACAAGGAUCCAUUGGAGGGCAAGUCUGGUGCCAGCAGCCGCGGUAAUUCCAGCUCCAAUAGCGUAUAUUAAAGUUGUUGCGGUUAAAAAGCUCGUAGUUGGUUCUGCGUGCCACGCUGUCGGUUCGCCGCCUGUCGGUGUAACUGGCAUGUCGUGGCAUGUCCUGUCGGUGGUAAACGGGGUCCCUGGUACGAUGUAGGCUUUUAUAGCUGAAAUCUGUACCGUGUGUGUUCCCGUUUACCGAUCUCUCCUACUCCGGUGCUCUUAAACGAGUGUCGAGGUAGGCCGACACGUUCACUUUGAACAAAUUAGAGUGCUUAAAGCAGGCUAAAAUAUCUGCCUGAAUAGUGGUGCAUGGAAUGAUAAAACAGGACCUCAGUUCUAUUUUGUUGGUUUUAGGAAUAUGAGGUAAUGAUCAAUGUGGACUGGCGGGGGCAUUCGUAUUGCGACGUUAGAGGUGAAAUUCUUGGAUCGUCGCAAGACGCACUAGAGCGAAAGCAUUUGCCAAGUAUGUCUUAAUUGAUCAAGAACGAAAGUUAGAGGUUCGAAGGCGAUCAGAUACCGCCCUAGUUCUAACCAUAAACGAUGCCAGCCAGCGAUCCGCCGAUGUUCCUUUAAUGACUCGGCGGGGAGCUUCUACUCGGGAAACCAAAGCUUUUGGGUUCCGGGGGAAGUAUGGUUGCAAAGCUGAAACUUAAAGGAAUUGACGGAAGGGCACCACCAGGAGUGGAGCCUGCGGCUUAAUUUGACUCAACACGGGAAACCUCA
rnacentral:rRNA from 1 species